GUCUAUGCAUUCAAGAAGGGCGUGCUGCCAGGACCAUUCUGCGAGGCCUUGAUCAGGGCUCACCCUGCGACGUUUGCUGAAGUCAGGCGACUUGCGGUGGCUCACAUCGCCGACGAGAGUGAAGUCGCCGAGAAGAGAGGAAGCGUGGCUCCCGCCAGGCCACGCGCCCAGACCAGGAUCCAGCCGCAGAGGGUGCUGGAGACGGCG
rnacentral:lncRNA from 1 species